rnacentral:rRNA from 1 species
CCCUUAGAUGUUCUGGGCCGCACGCGCGCUACACUGACGGAUUCAACGAGCUUACAACCUUGGCCGAAAGGUCUGGGUAAUCUCCAAAAUCCGUCGUGAUGGGGAUAGAUUAUUGCAAUUAUUAAUCUUCAACGAGGAAUGCCUAGUAAGCGCAAGUCAUCAGCUUGCGUUGAUUACGUCCCUGCCCUUUGUACACACCGCCCGUCGCUCCUACCGAUUGAAUGGUCCGGUGAAGCGUUUGGACUAUGGUUUUCUGAUGGUCCGCCGUUGGAUUACCGUGGGAAGUUCGUUAAACCUUAUCAUUUAGAGGAAGGAGAGGUCGUAACA